rnacentral:lncRNA from 1 species
GCAUAGACCUGGCCGGGCGCGGUGGCUCACGCCUGUAAUCCCAGCACUUUGGGAGGCCGAGGCGGGCGGAUCACGAGGUCAGGAGAUCGAGACCAUCCUGGCUAACACGGUGAAACCCCGUCUCUACUAAAAAUACAAAAAAUUAGCCGGGCGUGGUAGCGGGCGCCUGUAGUCCCAGCUACUCGGGAGGCUGAGGCAGGAGAAUGGCGUGAACCUGGGAGGCGGAGCUUGCAGUGAGCCGAGAUCGCGCCACUGCACUCCAGCCUGGGCGACAGAGCGAGACUCCGUCUCAAAAAAAAAAAAAAAAAAAAAAAGGCAUAGACCUACAUGUAAAAUCUAAAAUUAUGAAAUUUCCAUUAAAAACACAUAGGAGAAAAUCUUUAGGGUAGGCAAAACUUUCUUAGGUAGAAUACAAAAAAAAAGAAAAGGUUAGACUUCGGCCGGGUGCGGUGGCUCACACCUGUAAUCCCAGCACUUUGGGAGGCUGAGGUGGGCGGAUCAUGAGGUCAGGAGAUCGAGACCAUCCUGGCUAACACUGCAAAACCCCGUCUCCACUAAAAAUACAAAAAAUUAGCUGGGCGUGGUGGCAGGCGUCUGUAGUCCCAUCUACUGAGGAGGCUGAGGCAGGAGAAUGGCGUGAACCCAGGAGGCGGAGGUUGCAGUGAACCGAGAUCACACCACUGCACUCUGCAAUAGCUCAAAAGUGGGAACAAUGAACUAAUUUAGAAACAGAAAGUCAUGAGGCGGGCAGGUCACUUAAGGUCAGGAGUUCAAGACCAGCCUGGCCAACAUGGCAAAACCCCGUCCCUACAAAAAAUAAAAAAAUGAUCCGGGUGUGGUGGUGUGCACCUGUAAUCUCAGCUACUCAGGAAGCUGAGGCGAGAGGAUCGCUUGAAUCCGGGAGGCAGAGGUUGCAGGGAGGCGGAGGUUGCAGUGAGCCGAGAUUGCACCACUGCACUCCACCCUGGGUGACAGAGUGAGACUCAGUCAAAGAAAAGAAGAAAGAGAGAGAGAAGAGGAAGAAGAAAGAAGAAGAUGAGGAGGAGGAAGAGAGGAAGGGCAGGAGGGUGGGAGGGUGGGAGGGAGGGAGUGCAAUACUGCAUGUUCUCACUUAUAAGUGAGAGCUAAACAGUGGGUACAUAUGGUCAUACAGAUGGAGUGACAGACUCUGGAGACCCCAAAAGAUGAGAGGGUGGGAGGCUGGUGAGGGCUGGAAAACCACCUUUUGGGUAAAAUGUUCAUUAUUCAGGUGAUGGGAGCACUACAGCCCAGAUGUCACCACUAUGGAAUGUGUGCACGUAAGAAGCCUACACUUGUACCCUCUAAAUAUAUAUAUUUUAAAAAGUGGAAACAACCCAGAUAGCUAUCAGAAUGUAUUAUAGCUAUACAAUAGACUACUACUUAGCUAUGAAAAUGAACUAUUGGUUCCAUUUAUAUAAAAUUCUUGAAAAUGCAAAUUAAUUGAUAGUGACAGAAAAUCGCUGGUUGCCUGGUGACAGGUAGUGGCACUGGAGGAUGUGAGCAGUGGUGGAAGGGAGAGAUGCCCAAGAUGCACAAAGAAACUUUUGUAGGUGAUGGACAUGUGAUAGUGGGGAUGGGAUGGUGUCACAGUGUGCACCCCUCUCGAAUCCAUCAAGUUAUCUAUUUUAAAUUGUGUAGUGCAGUGCACAUCAAUUAUACCUCAAUAAAAUAGUAAAAUUAAAAGUGUACAUAUACACCAUAGCAUCUUGCUUUGUUCACUUAAUUACAGAUCUUGACUGAUUCAUAUCUAGACGAAUAAAUCUAUUCUUUAAAAAUACUGGAUAUUAGACAUUCCAUAGAUAUGCGGUAUCUUUUUACAAAUCAUUCCCCUUUUAAAGAACGUCUAAGUAGGUUGAACUAUUUUGCUACUGCAUGUUAUGUUUAACAGAGUACCUAUGAUUUGUGUGUGUGCGUGUGUAUGUUUCUAUCUAUUUAUCUAUCUUUGUGCACAAGUAGGGGGUUUUUCCAUAGGACAAAUACCUAGAAAUAGAAUUUCUUAGAUCAAAUGGCUUAUGCAUUUAGAAUUUUGUUAGGUAACUUUUAGGUUGACCCCCAAAGAUGUUGGACCAACUUAUACUCCCAUCAGCAAAGUAUGAAUAGAUUUCCGUUUCUUCCCCAGGCUCAUCAAUGCACCGUGUGGCCAAACAGAACAGAAGCUUGUUUUUCAUUCACGCUACCUCCUCCUCUCAGAGCUGGCAGGAGUUCUUGUCCACAUUGUUAAGCGGGGUCAUUGAUGACUGAACUUCCCACAUUUUGUGACAGCAGCAUCUAGAAUAUGCAGCACUCUCCAUCAUCAUGAGAGAAAAAGAGAUUGGAGAAUCACCCAGAGCUCUUUAUUGCCUCAGCCAAAUAAGUGACACAUGUCAUGUCUCACGAUUCAUUGGCCAGAACUAGUCCCGUGGCCCUGUCUGACUGCAAGGGAGCUGGACAACGUGAAGGAGCAGGUGGAAUAUUGGAUAUUUAAAUACCACUGCUUUAGUACAGUGGUUAAGAGUAAAGUAUUUGAAGUUAUAAGGAGGUUGGUUCAAAAAAUAAUGACUUUGCAGACAGGCGCGGUGGCUCACGCCUGUAAUCCCAGCACUUUGGGAGGCUGAGGCAGGCAGAUCCCUUGAGGCCAGGAGUUCAAGACCAGCCUGGCCAACAUGGUGAAACCCCAUCUCUACUAUAAAAACCAAAAAAAAUUAAUCGGUUGUGGUGGCACAUGCCUAUAGUCCCAGCUACUCGGGAGGCUGAGUCAGGAGAAUCGUUUGAACCUGGGAGGCAGAGGUUGCAGUGAGCUGAGAUGGCGCCACUACACUCCAGCCU